UGCAGAAUCCCGCGAACCAUCGAGUCUUUGAACGCAAGUUGCGCCCGAGGGAUCCGCCCGAGGGCACGCCUGCCUCAUGGGCGUUAGAAGCCCAUCCACGCUCGGGAGCCUAGCUACUUGGCCAGCCCCGAUGCGGAUCGUGGCCCUCCGAGCCCUAGGGCGCGGUGGGCCCAAGUGCGCGGCCGUCGGAAGGAGCCGGGAGCGGCGAGUGGUGGAAUGCUGCGCGCGCCGUCCCGGGACCCCUGCCGGCAUAUGGCUUUGACCGACCCUCGACGAGGAGCCGCGUCACCUUCGAAAGGAGUGCGGCAUUCUCGGAUCGAUACCCCAGGUCAGGCGGGGCUACCCGCUGAGUUUAAGCAUAUAAAUAAGCGGAGGAGAAGAAACUUACGAGGAUUCCCCUAGUAACGGCGAGCGAACCGGGAGCAGCCCAGCCUUAGAAUCGUGGCGGCUUUGCC
rnacentral:rRNA from 1 species